UAAAGGUCACACCACCCUGAGCGCUCCCGAUCUCGUCUGAUUUUGGAAGCUAAGCAGGAUCAAGCCUGGUUACCUGGAGCAGGUCAUCUACUUAC
rnacentral:rRNA from 1 species